rnacentral:rRNA from 1 species
UACGUAGGGCGCAAGCGUUAUCCGGAAUUAUUGGGCGUAAAGAGCUCGUAGGCGGUUUGUCGCGUCUGCCGUGAAAGUCCGGGGCUCAACUCCGGAUCUGCGGUGGGUACGGGCAGACUAGAGUGAUGUAGGGAAGACUGGAAUUCCUGGUGUAGCGGUGAAAUGCGCAGAUAUCAGGAGGAACACCGGUGGCGAAGGCGGGUCUCUGGGCCGAUACUGACGCUGAGGAGCGAAAGCGUGGGGAGCGAACAGG